rnacentral:rRNA from 1 species
AUUGAACGCUGGCGGCAGGCUUAACACAUGCAAGUCGAGCGGAAGAAGGGAGCUUGCUGCUGGAGUGAGCGGCGGAGGGGUGUGAAACGCCUAGGAGUCUGCCGGGUAGUGGGGGAUAACGUCGGGAAAGGGGCGCUAAUACCGCACACGCUCUGAGGGAGAAAGGGGGGGAGCAUCGGACCUCACGAUAGCAGAUGAGCCUAGGUCGGAUUAGCUAGUUGGUGGGGUAAAGGCACACCAAGGCGACGAUCCGUAGCUGGUCUGAGAGGAUGAUCAGACACACUGGAACUGAGACACGGUCCAGGCUCCUACGGGAGGCAGCAGUGGGGAAUAUUGGACAAUGGGCGCAAGCCUGAUCCAGCCAUGCCGCGUGUGUGAAGAAGGUCUUCGGAUUGUAAAGUGCUUUUGUUUGGGAGGAAGCGCAGUUGGUUAAUACCCUGCUGUAUUGACGUUACCGACAGAAUAAGCACCGGCUAACUACGUG